AUCUACGACCAUAGACUCAAGAGAAUUGGGCAUCCCGUCCGCUCUGCCAUACACAAGCUUGAGAUCGGUGGAUUAGUAGUUGGGUGGGUGACCACCAGCGAAUACCCACUGUUGUAUGUU
rnacentral:rRNA from 1 species